GCACUAUCGUUAACUGAAUACAUAGGUUAACGAGGCGAACCGGGGGAACUGAAACAUCUAAGUACCCCGAGGAAAAGAAAUCAACCGAGAUUCCCCCAGUAGCGGCGAGCGAACGGGGAGCAGCCCAGAGUCUGAAUCAGCUUGUGUGUUAGUGGAACGGUCUGGAAAGUCCGACGGUACAGGGUGAUAGUCCCGUACACCAAAAUGCACAGGUUGUGAACUCGAAGAGUAGGGCGGGACACGUGGUAUCCUGUCUGAAUAUGGGGGGACCAUCCUCCAAGGCUAAAUACUCCUGACUGACCGAUAGUGAACCAGUACCGUGAGGGAAAGGCGAAAAGAACCCCGGCGAGGGGAGUGAAAAAGAACCUGAAACCGUGUACGUACAAGCAGUGGGAGCACCUUCGGGUGUGACUGCGUACCUUUUGUAUAAUGGGUCAGCGACUUAUAUUCUGUAGCAAGGUUAACCGUAUAGGGGAGCCGCAGGGAAACCGAGUCUUAACUGGGCGUUAAGUUGCAGGGUAUAGACCCGAAACCCGGUGAUCUAGCCAUGGGCAGGUUGAAGGUUGGGUAACACUAACUGGAGGACCGAACCGACUAAUGUUGAAAAAUUAGCGGAUGACUUGUGGCUGGGGGUGAAAGGCCAAUCAAACCGGGAGAUAGCUGGUUCUCCCCGAAAGCUAUUUAGGUAGCGCCUCGUGAACUCAUCUUCGGGGGUAGAGCACUGUUUCGGCUAGGGGGUCAUCCCGACUUACCAACCCGAUGCAAACUACGAAUACCGAAGAAUGUUAUCACGGGAGACACACGGCGGGUGCUAACGUCCGUCGUGAAGAGGGAAACAACCCAGACCGCCAGCUAAGGUCCCAAAGUCAUGGUUAAGUGGGAAACGAUGUGGGAAGGCACAGACAGCCAGGAUGUUGGCUUAGAAGCAGCCAUCAUUUAAAGAAAGCGUAAUAGCUCACUGGUCGAGUCGGCCUGCGCGGAAGAUGUAACGGGGCUAAACCAUGCACCGAAGCUGCGGCAGCGACACUAUGUGUUGUUGGGUAGGGGAGCGUUCUGUAAGCCUGCGAAGGUGACCUGUGAGGGUUGCUGGAGGUAUCAGAAGUGCGAAUGCUGACAUAAGUAACGAUAAAGCGGGUGAAAAGCCCGCUCGCCGGAAGACCAAGGGUUCCUGUCCAACGUUAAUCGGGGCAGGGUGAGUCGACCCCUAAGGCGAGGCCGAAAGGCGUAGUCGAUGGGAAACAGGUUAAUAUUCCUGUACUUGGUGUUACUGCGAAGGGGGGACGGAGAAGGCUAUGUUAGCCGGGCGACGGUUGUCCCGGUUUAAGCAUGUAGGCUGGUUGUCCAGGCAAAUCCGGAUAAUCAAGGCUGAGGUGUGAUGACGAGGCACUACGGUGCUGAAGUAACAAAUGCCCUGCUUCCAGGAAAAGCCUCUAAGCAUCAGGUAACAUCAAAUCGUACCCCAAACCGACACAGGUGGUCAGGUAGAGAAUACCAAGGCGCUUGAGAGAACUCGGGUGAAGGAACUAGGCAAAAUGGUGCCGUAACUUCGGGAGAAGGCACGCUGGUGUGUAGGUGAAGUCCCUGCGGAUGGAGCUGAGACCAGUCGAAGAUACCAGCUGGCUGCAACUGUUUAUUAAAAACACAGCACUGUGCAAACACGAAAGUGGACGUAUACGGUGUGACGCCUGCCCGGUGCCGGAAGGUUAAUUGAUGGGGUUAUCCGUAAGGAGAAGCUCUUGAUCGAAGCCCCGGUAAACGGCGGCCGUAACUAUAACGGUCCUAAGGUAGCGAAAUUCCUUGUCGGGUAAGUUCCGACCUGCACGAAUGGCGUAAUGAUGGCCAGGCUGUCUCCACCCGAGACUCAGUGAAAUUGAACUCGCUGUGAAGAUGCAGUGUACCCGCGGCAAGACGGAAAGACCCCGUGAACCUUUACUAUAGCUUGACACUGAACAUUGAGCCUUGAUGUGUAGGAUAGGUGGGAGGCUUUGAAGCGUGGACGCCAGUCUGCGUGGAGCCAACCUUGAAAUACCACCCUUUAAUGUUUGAUGUUCUAACGUUGGCCCCUUACCGGGGUUGCGGACAGUGUCUGGUGGGUAGUUUGACUGGGGCGGUCUCCUCCCAAAGCGUAACGGAGGAGCACGAAGGUUAGCUAAUCCUGGUCGGACAUCAGGAGGUUAGUGCAAUGGCAUAAGCUAGCUUGACUGCGAGCGUGACGGCGCGAGCAGGUGCGAAAGCAGGUCAUAGUGAUCCGGUGGUUCUGAAUGGAAGGGCCAUCGCUCAACGGAUAAAAGGUACUCCGGGGAUAACAGGCUGAUACCGCCCAAGAGUUCAUAUCGACGGCGGUGUUUGGCACCUCGAUGUCGGCUCAUCACAUCCUGGGGCUGAAGUAGGUCCCAAGGGUAUGGCUGUUCGCCAUUUAAAGUGGUACGCGAGCUGGGUUUAGAACGUCGUGAGACAGUUCGGUCCCUAUCUGCCGUGGGCGCUGGAGAAUUGAGGGGGGCUGCUCCUAGUACGAGAGGACCGGAGUGGACGCAUCACUGGUGUUCGGGUUGUCAUGCCAAUGGCACUGCCCGGUAGCUAAAUGCGGAAGAGAUAAGUGCUGAAAGCAUCUAAGCACGAAACUUGCCCCGAGAUGAGUUCUCCCUGAGACUUUAAGUCUCCUGAAGGAACGUUAAAGACGAUGACGUUGAUAGGCCGGGUGUGUAAGCGCAGCGAUGCGUUGAGCUAACCGGUACUAAUGAACCGUGAGGCUUAACCUUACAACGCCGAAG
rnacentral:rRNA from 1 species